rnacentral:lncRNA from 1 species
GUGCAGCUGCAGUCACAAAGCUGCAGCUGCGGACCCAGGGCAUCCCUGUGCUCUCAGGGUCCUAGCGAAGUCCCCUGCCCCUGCAGGCUCAGAAGUGCCUGCUCCUGCUACCUGGCUUCUCCCCGCUCCUGCUGCCUGCUCCAAUUUUGGAGCAAAGCUGAGGCUGAGCCUGGGCACUGUCACAAUUUGGCCAGGUGUGUCACAAUUUGGCCAGGUGUGUCACAAUUUGGGGCAGCGCUGAUAUGCCAGCCCCCUGCCACCUCAGCCCCCUCCGGACUUUGGGUGCUGACGAGCAUCAGUGGGAGGCUGAGGCAGGGGUGGGCUGAGGGUGGGUUGGUGUGGGCCUGCAGGUGCCCCUUGACACCAACAGCCUGGGCACCGUGUACAUGACUGAUGGCAGCAGGAGGCAGACAGGCUCCUGGGCAAAAAGGGGCAGGUCCCUGCUGAAGCCCCACCUUCAAGCCAGGAAUGGCCUAAAGCAUGGGGGCCAAGCUGUCAGUUCUGAGUGGAGUCCACAGACCAGAGUAAGAACUUAGGAUGCUUUUUCUGGGCCUGCCUGUGGCCGUCCAUGGACCAAUCAGCAUGCACUUCCUCCCUUUUGAGCUCAUUAAAAAUCCUGGAUUCAGUUUGACUUGAACAGACAUCGGAUCAACCUGCCUGUGGAUAGGAGCUACUCACUGCAGGUCUCCUCUCCACUGACGGCUAGACACUUAUUGGCAUGACCUGCCUGAGGAAAGGAGCUACCCAUUGACAGACAGACAUUGGGAUGACCUGUCUGGGGAAAGGAGCUACCCUCUAUGGGUCUCCUCUCUGCUCUGAGCUGGACAGACGUCAGGAUGACCUGCCUACAGAAAGGAGCUACCCAUUGACAGACAGACAUUGGGAUGACCUG